GAUCAACCUUCAUCUCCCCAUUUCAGGAAAAUAUCAAGAAAUCAUUUUUAUAAUAUCUCCCAAACGCUUAAAAAUAAUGACACUUUGGCUUCAUUUGAUGAUUCUCAUUACAACGUGGGAAGGUAUUUUCCUCCUUUUUAAAUCUGGAAAAAAAAUGUUUUCCUUGGCUGUAAUUAUAAACAAUAUCUUACAUAUUGAUCUUUACGAUGAAUGAAGCAAUUUAAUUUAUCUGAUCCUAACUGCUGCUGUUUUCAUUUUUCACAUUUCCUUUGCAGGUUUAUAUUCACAAAGUGUUGUUCUGACACAACUGGAUUCAGAACUGAAGAGACCUGGAGAGUCUGUCAGACUGAAAUGCGCCACCAGUGGGUUUGCCCUGAAUGACUGGUAUAUGAGCUGGAUAAGGCAGAAACCAGGGAAGGGACUGGAAUGGCUGGUGAGCUACUGGAAACCUUCAAAAACCAAUUACUAUUUGCCUGCCAUCCAAGGACGCUUCACCGCCUCCAAGGACAGCUCCAAUUUUUAUCUGCAAAUGAACAACCUGACUCCUGAAGACACUGCUAUGUAUUACUGUGCGAGAGA